GAUUUAAAUGUUCAAUUGGCAAGGUAAAAUUAUGAGGAUUAGCAAUCUUAAUUUCACUUUAUUCGAUUUACUUUUUUGUUAAAAGUGAAAUACAUCGGCACGCUUUCACUGCAAACAGUCUAUAAGCAUGUUGAGCCUGAGUUCAA